AGAGUUUGAUCAUGGCUCAGGAUGCACGCUGACGGCGUGCUUUAACACAUGCAAGUCGAACGAAGCACUUUAUUUAAUUUCCUUCGGAACUGAUUAUUUUGUNAUUGAGUGUCGCCCGGGUGAGUAACGCGUGGGUAACCUGCCUUGUACAGCGGCAUAACANUUGAAANCGGCUGCUAAUACCGCAUAAGCGCACAGUAUCGCAUGAUGCAGUGUGAAAAACUCCGGUGGUAUAAGAUGGACCCGCGUUGGAUUAGCUAGUUGGUGAGGUAACGGCCCACCAAGUCAACGAUCCAUAGCCGCACAUGAGAGGGUGACCGGCCACAUUGGUACUGAGACACGGCCCAAACUCCUACGGGAGGCAGCAGUGGGGAAUAUUGCACAAUGGNCGAAAGCCUGAUGCAGCGACGCCGCUGUGAGCAAGAAAGUUUUUCGGUAUGUAAAGUUCUAUCAGCAGGGAAGAUAAUUGCCGGUACUGACUAUGAAAGCACCGGCGUAAAUACGUGCCAGCAGCAGCGGUAAUACGUAUGGUGCAAGCGGUUAUCAGCAUUUACUGGGUGUAAAGGAAGCNCAGCCGGUCCGGCAAGUAUAUGUGAUAGCCCGGGGCUCAACCCCGGUACUGCAUUGGAAACUGUCGUACUAGAGUGUCGCAGGGGUAAUCGGAAUUCCUAGUGUAGCGGUGAUAUGCGUAUAUAUUAGGAGGAACACCAGUGGCUAAGACGGCAUUANUGGGCGAUANCUGACGCUGAGGCUNGAAAGCGUGGGGAGCAUACAGCAUUAUAUACCCUGGUAGUCCACGCCGUANUCGAUGAAUACUAGGUGUUGGGAAGCANUGCUUCUCGGUNCCGUCNCAAACACAGUAAGUAUUCCACCUGGGGAGNACGUUCGCAAGAAUUAAACUCAAAGGAAUUGACGGGGACCCGCACAAACGGUNGAGCAUGUGGUUUAAUUCGAAUGCAACGCGAAGAACCUUACCAAGUCUUGACAUCCUUCUGACCGGUACUUAACCGUACCUUCUCUUCGGAUCAUGAGUGACAGGUGGUGCAUGGUUGUCUUCAGCUCGUGUCGUGAGAUGUUGGGUUAANUCCCNCAACGAGCGCAACCCUUAUCUUUAGUANCCANCGGUUAUGCCGGGCACUCUAGAGANACUGCCACGGAUAACCUGGAGGAAGGCGGGGAUGACGUCAAAUCAUCAUGNCCCUUAUGACUUGGGCUACACACGUGCUACAAUGG
rnacentral:rRNA from 1 species